CAUGGGGGUGGAGGGGAGACAGUGACCAAGCAGGACUGAGCAUCAGCGUAUCGCCUAAUGUGCAGGAAGUUCAACCUGGAUUUCUGCAGGGUAUGGGUAUGUGAGCAGCCAAUCCAGCUGCAUCUCCACCUGCCCUACAGAUCAAGUGUGGGGCAGGCAGGCAUGGGUUUUAUGUUGUUGUUCCGUGGCGAGUUCCUGCCUCCCCCCAGUGGAAAUAAAGACACAUGACACGAAUAUUUAGGUUAAUGGGCAAAAAAUGGCCACAACUUUAUUGGUUACAGGAAUGAGUGGUAUUGGCUUAGGCAUUGGUCCUAACUGACUAUCCGGCUUCAGCCCAAUUGCUUGAAGACAGGGAAGGGGGUCUUGAAGACCACCACUAGGGGGCGUCCUGCUGAUGCACACCAACUAGGAGCUCCCCCGGGGUCACUGCUCGGGGGCGUGCCUUAGGCCCUCACCUCCAUAGGCUUCGGACAGGGCCACGCCCCCCGGAAUCCUUUACUGGACUACCCUUCGAUAUUCAGGGGAGGUGAUGGCGCUUCCUCCCCCCUUCAUCUGCAUGAGAAUACCCCUACCAAUGCCUAACCGCCACUCGAGCAAAAGCUUGCCGCCAAUACCCUCAGACCUGCAACCAAUCCCUAAUCCCAGCAGAUAUGUCAGCCAACCAAACAAACAUCAUUUCCCGAUGAGCUGAGGCGGCAAAAGAGGGAGAUCCAUGGCCGUGCCAGUGUGAUGUCGUGCAAGCCACGCCCCCCCUUGGCCAGCCGAUUGGCUGGCCAGGGGAUGACGCGGCCAGGGAUCCCCUCAAUCGCGCGGAGGCUGAGAGCGUGAAGCCCGCAACUCCACCUCCUCUCGAGUUCGGAAGUGGUGUUGUUGUUGUUGUUGUUUUUAAAAAAGGAAAUUUUGUGGGGGGCCCUACCACUAAUCUUUAAAUACUGCUUCAUUUCGCUGUUUUAGAAAAUUCUACUGACUACAUUAACAACAUAAAAACAGCACAGCUGGAUCAGACCAAAGACCUGUGGAGUCCAGGAUCCUGUUCACACAGUGGCCAGCCAGGUGUCUAUGAGAAGCCUACAGAAUAACAGCGCUCUUCAUACAUGAUUCCCAGAAACUGAUAUUCAGAGUGGUACCUUCCCUGGAAGUCAGUCAGAUCAGGCCAAGAGGACCCUUCUUAAUCUUGAACAACCUUCAAUGGACACAUUUGCUGCAUUCUGACU